AGGACUAACGCUGGCGGCGUGCCUAACACAUGCAAGUCGAACGAAGUAGCAAUACUUAGUGGCAGACGGGUGAGUAACACGUAGUCAACCUGCCCUUCAAUGGGGGAUAACUAGCCGAAAGGUUAGCUAAUACCGCAUACGAUCUCUGAGUGGCAUCACUCGGCGAUGAAAGGAGUAAUCCGUUGAAGGAGGGGACUGCGUCCCAUUAGUUAGUUGGUGGGGUAAUGGCCUACCAAGACUCCGAUGGGUAGCUGGCUUGAGAGAGCGACCAGCCACACUGGAACUGAGACACGGUCCAGACUCCUACGGGAGGCAGCAGUGAGGAAUUUUCCGCAAUGGGGGAAACCCUGACGGAGCGACGCCGCGUGUGGGAAGAAGGCCUUCGGGUCGUAACCACUGUCGAGGGGACGAGUAUUGACGGUACCCCUGGACGGAAGCCCCGGCUAACUACGCGCCAGCAGCCGC
rnacentral:rRNA from 1 species